AGAAUCAACGCUGGCGGCGUGCCUAACACAUGCAAGUCGCACGAGAAAGUGGAGCAAUCCACGAGUAAAGUGGCGCACGGGUGAGUAACACGUGAAUAAUCUACCUCCGAGUGGGGAAUAACGUGAGAGAAAUCUUAGCUAAUACCGCAUAAUACCCACGGGUCAAAGCAGCAAUGCGCUUGGAGAGGAGUUCGCGGCCGAUUAGCUAGUUGGCGGGUAAUGGCCCACAAGGCGAUGAUCUGUA
rnacentral:rRNA from 1 species